CACCAGCAUGACGUCGAAGCCAAAACAAAUCCGGUUAAAUAAAGGAAAAGUCCAAACAUUUUAACGGAGGCAUAGCUGUCUUGGUUCCAACGCAAUCGGCAUGUUACUAGUGGUCUAGUGGGGAGGUGUGAAAAMGAUUUAGCUCAAAAUUAAGGUAUCCAUACAGUCUAUAAAGUGUUGGUUUGAAUGUUUAAUAUUUUGUCAUUGAAAUAGAAAUGUUGGUAUGGGGACGUCAUCUGCAGCCGGCAGAAUUGGUUCAAUUUCAUCUCCAUUUAUAGUUUCACUCGUUCGAAUCCAUGUUCUGAUCCCGUAUUCUAUCUUUGCUAUCGCUACGUUCAUCGUCUGUGUACUGUGUCUUACCUUAGCAGAGACAAACAACGAACCAACUAAAGAAACGCUUGAGCMACAGAAGACACUCAAGAACAAUAUUAAUGGAUUUGUAACCGAUGGUACAAGCGAUACGUUACUUUGAAGAUACAUGUAUAAASUUGUUUCCCKAAACGGUAAUAAGUUUCGUUAGCAGAUCUAUAAUUUUUGWCGCCCCUUGUGGUCUUCUAUCUAUCACAUUUAUGYUUACCAUUGGGCUCAUAGUUGUGUUUUACGGAUUGCUUAUUCAUCAUAAAUUGAAUGACAYCGAAGACAGCCAAAGUAAUUGAAGCACGCGGGCCAAAUGAAAUGUAAUCUUGUAGUCUUCUAACCCUCAUAGUCUAAUUGUUAACUUAACAGACAAUAAAAAAAUAGGGCAGGCAUUAAUUAAUUACUCAAUUGUAUCUCAGUAAAGAUAGCUAAUGCCAGCGAUAGUUUUUACUUACAGUAAAACGUCCAUAAUSUUUUAUCGUCCAGUAAGGCGGAURACUUUUUUCUCAAUUUUCAAAUCCUAUACGUCUUAUGAUAAAAYAUGACACGUAAUGUCACGUGAUUUCCGUUUGCUUGACCAUGAUAGGCACUCCGAUAUCUAUGAAAAUAACUUAAUCUAUUCAAAAUAUAGUCAACUGGCGUUCUUUUCGCCCAGUUGAUGACAUCACARCUUCACAUACGCURUCGAACUUUGAGUCAAGGGUYUCUUGUCAGUGCCGCAUCUUUAAACUUAAUAUGUAUUAUAAUCUGGACAAUCUCCCCAUUCAUUAAAGACUGGUCGCUUUAAAAAAUCAGUGUACAAGACUAGUCCAUGUUUAAAAGAAUCUGAAACUGAAACUGUUUUAUUGCUCUUUUUUUGCUUUUAACUUGACAGAAAAAAAGGUGCUUGUAAUAAAAAGAUAAAUAGGUAUAGAGAAUCCUCCUUACGUAAGCACAUAUUAAAUACACUUCAUUUUUUA